UUUCUUUUAUUUUUUUGUUUUUCUGGAUCAUUCACUUAUUUGCAUCGGUCCCCUACGUAGAGGAUGCGUAGGCCGGAGCUGACUGCUGAGAUAAACUACUAAGGACUUAUACGGAAAUGAUGAUUAAGGCCAUGGUAUAUGGGGUUUCGGGAAUGAUUCCUAUAUUUACGAAGCUUAUGGUGCUAAAACAGAUACUGAUGUUUCACAAAGUUCUCCCAAGUCACCGCAUCCUUACUCAAAACAUGUCUUUAAAACCUGAAAAAUUU
rnacentral:lncRNA from 1 species